rnacentral:rRNA from 1 species
CAUAUCAAUAAGCGGAGGAAAAGAAACCAACAGGGAUUGCCCUAGUAACGGCGAGUGAAGCGGCAACAGCUCAAAUUUGAAAUCUGGCUCUUUUAGAGUCCGAGUUGUAAUUUGCAGAGGGCGCUUUGGCGUUGGCAGCGGUCCAAGUUCUUUGGAACAGGACGUCACAGAGGGUGAGAAUCCCGUACGUGGUCGCUAUCCUUCGCCGUGUAAAGCCCCUUCGACGAGUCGAGUUGUUUGGGAAUGCAGCUCUAAAUGGGAGGUAAAUUUCUUCUAAAGCUAAAUACUGGCCAGAGACCGAUAGCGCACAAGUAGAGUGAUCGAAAGAUGAAAAGCACUUUGGAAAGAGAGUCAAAUAGCACGUGAAAUUGUUGAAAGGGAAGCGCUUGCAGCCAGACUUGCCUGUAGUUGCUUAUCUGGACUUUUGUCCAGUGCACUCUUCUAUAGGCAGGCCAGCAUCAGUUUGGGCGGUUAGAUAAAGGUCUCUGUCAUGUACCUCUCUUCGGGGAGGCCUUAUAGGGGAGACGACAUGUAACCAGCCUGGACUGAGGUCCGCGCAUCUGCUAGGAUGCUGGCGUAAUGGCUGUAAGCGGCCCGUCUUGAAACACGGACCAAGGAGUCUAACAUUUAUGCGAGUGUUUGGGUGUCAAGCCCAGACGCGUAAUGAAAGUGAACGGAGGUAGGAACCCUUUGGGUGCACCAUCGACCGAUCCUGAUGUCUUCGGAAGGAUUUGAGUAAGAGCAUGGCUGUUGGGACCCGAAAGAUGGUGAACUAUGCUUGAAUAGGGUGAAGCCAGAGGAAACUCUGGUGGAGGCUCGCAGCGGUUCUGACGUGCAAAUCGAUCGUCAAAUUUGGGCAUAGGGGCGAAAGACUAAUCGAUCUCAAGG